UACGAAGGGGGCUAGCGUUGCUCGGAAUCACUGGGCGUAAAGCGCACGUAGGCGGCUUGUUAAGUCAGGGGUGAAAUCCUGGAGCUCAACUCCAGAACUGCCUUUGAUACUGGCGAUCUCGAGUCCGGGAGAGGUGAGUGGAACCGCGAGUGUAGAGGUGAAAUUCGUAGAUAUUCGCAAGAACACCAGUGGCGAAGGCGGCUCACUGGCCCGGUACUGACGCUGAGGUGCGAAAGCGUGGGGAGCAAACAGG
rnacentral:rRNA from 1 species